GACGAACGCUGGCGGCGUGCUUAACACAUGCAAGUCGAACGAAGAGCGAUGGAAGCUUGCUUCUAUCAAUCUUAGUGGCGAACGGGUGAGUAACGCGUAAUCAACCUGCCCUUCAGAGGGGGACAACAGUUGGAAACGACUGCUAAUACCGCAUACGAUCUAAUCUCGGCAUCGAGGAUAGAUGAAAGGUGGCCUCUACAUGUAAGCUAUCACUGAAGGAGGGGAAGGCGUCUGGUUAGCUAGUUGGGUGGGAAACGGCCCAACAAGGCCAUGGUCACGAGCCGGUCUGGGGGGAUGAACGGCCACAAUGGGACCGGGACAACGCCCCAAACUCCACGGGGGGCAGCCGUGGGGAAUUCUUCCGAAUGGAGGAAAGGCUUACGGGGCCACGCCGCGUUAGGUGUUACGGCCUUUCGGUUGUUAAGCUCUUUUUAUCGGGACGAAAGGACUGCUUGCGAACAGUUAGAAGUAUUGACGGUACCUGAAUAGAAAGCCACGGCUAACUACGUG
rnacentral:rRNA from 1 species